AUGAAAAGCACACUUUUCCUUAGUUUUCACAGACCUAAUCUUGUGCGGUCUAGGAUCCUUCAUCUUCCCCAGAAAUUGGGUGUUGUAGGCAGAACCAGGAGAGUAGCAGUUAUUAGCUGUGAGACCCAGGUGAGUGGUGAGAAGAAACACUCUUAUCCUCAUGAAAGAGUUGUUAAAUUGCGCCUCAGAAUUUAUUCUCUGAUGGCCUCUCAUCCAUCUGUUAUUCGUCAUCCCAUUCGGACUGAGAGGUUUUUGUGGGCAGCUAGCUUGUAUAGUAUAGCUCUGGCUCAAGGUUUUUGUGCGCGCCAGUUAUCAACCAAUUGUAAUUCCAGAAGGAAGCACAUGCACCGUUGUUGUUGUUGA
rnacentral:rRNA from 1 species